GGCAGCUCGGCUUGCGGAGGUCAAGAAAAAGGAGAGAGGGGUCCUGAGACCCUGGGUUCCAUGUGGUCAGAAAGCUAGACGCGGAGUUGCAGGAGGCGCGGAGUUUUCCGUCCCGGGAUCUUCGGGUUACGAUGAGAAAAUCUUAGCAGGUGGAGAAGGAGGAAACGUGGGAGUGUCACAGGUCCGGGCUCUUGCAGCCCGGGAUUCCUGGAUCACGGAGUGAAGCAAUGGGGAGGAGGUUCUCAAUGACUCUCUGAGGUUAAUCAGCACAAGCACUGUGACUUCUGAGUCACCCCCCUACCCCAGGGCCAACCAAAGAUGCAGGGCUCGCUGACUCACUCCUUUGGUCCCCAAGGACUCACAAUCCAACAUCCACCGAAUCCAGUUGGCAAACGGAUGCUUUGGUGGUUAAAGGAGUUUCCCAGCCCUCCCAGGCCAUAGGCUGAAGGCGCCUGCCCAACCGCAGAGUCUUUCUUCUUGCCCUUCUUUCUAUCCAUCCAUCCUGACUGGCUGUGUGCACUAGGUUCAGAGCUGGGUGAGUCCAGCCUUGCUGUGUAAGGAGAAGCACUUUCCUGUCCUGAUGGGUGACCUUGAGCCACCAGGACUGCCCCCUUGACCUUGGCCUGUGCUCUGUCCUCUAUCAAUUAGAAUUUGGAAGGAAUAAUCUCUCUGAACUCAAAUUUCACCUAGCCCUCUCUGACUCAGUCUUAUUGCCUUUUCCUUUCGAUGAGUGGCAGCUAUGAAUGUCUGCACAUGGUGUGUGUGUGUGGGGGGGGGGUGCUGAUGUGUCUGUCAGUGAGUUGGGAAUUUACUUUUUAUUUCCUGCCUUUUUGAACAUCACCCCGGUUUUUAGAGGGAAGACAGUGGAUGCGUACAGAAUCUAUCAGAGACUGAGCUAACAGUGGCAAUGGACCCUUCCUUCUGUCCACCGCGUCAGUAUACCAGAGCACCAACCUGUGUCAGAUGUGGGCCAGAAUCCCAAGUUUCCUGCAGGCAAGAUCUGGAGACAGCCAGAAACCUGGGUGCUAAAUGGAGGAGUUCAAAAGGAAGUCUCCUGUGUUUGCAAGCCUCCAUGGUUACAGGAAGCUAAAGGGGAAGACGAGGGAAGGAAGAGGCAUCAGGUGUGCUGGUGAGUGCAUCCAUCCCUUUGCUGCUGCUGCCAGUGUCCUUCCCUGAGGUCUGAAUCCAGCAUCUUGUCCUUCUAAUAUGCACUGAAAAUCAACAGGUCUCCAGGAAUCCUCUAGGCCUUCAGUGCCAGCUUGGGACUGCUGAGACAUCCAGCCUCGUGUACUUAGCAACUACAAGAGUGUCCAGCACUCGCAUGUCAUUGUACUACCCUGCCCCUGUGGUGUAACCCAGUCUAAUAAACCCCCUUUGCAAAAUA